rnacentral:rRNA from 1 species
CUCGCAGAAGAAGCACCGGCUAACUUCGUGCCAGCAGCCGCGGUAAUACGAGGGGUGCAAGCGUUAAUCGGAAUUACUGGGCGUAAAGCGUACGCAGGCGGUUUGUUAAGCAAGAUGUGAAAGCCCCGGGCUCAACCUGGGAACAGCAUUUUGAACUGGCAAGCUAGAGUCUUGUAGAGGGGGGUAGAAUUUCAGGUGUAGCGGUGAAAUGCGUAGAGAUCUGAAGGAAUACCGGUGGCGAAGGCGGCCCCCUGGACAAAGACUGACGCUCAGGUACGAAAGCGUGGGGAGCAAACAGGAUUAGAUACCCUGGUAGUCCACGCCGUAAACGAUGUCUACUCGGAAUUUGGUGUCUUGAACACUGGGUUCUCAAGCUAACGCAUUAAGUAGACCGCCUGGG